UCUCUACCUCCAAAGU
rnacentral:sRNA from 1 species